UCCCUCAUACACCUGUGUGUGUGUGUGUGUAUAUAUAUAUAUAUAUACACACACACACAUAUAUACACACACACACACACACACAUGUAU
rnacentral:miRNA from 1 species